CGCAAAUGUCGAAAAUUUGCAUUUCCCUUUUUUGAUCUUGACCUGGCCCACAGGGACCCAUCCCUCUCCCCAUCCAUUUCCCUGCUUAGAAGGAAACAUCUCUCGCCCUCUGCCAGAGUUUCCUAGGGCAGCCUUAGCAAGGUACCACAAAAGAACUUUAUAGUCUCAAAAACAGUCUUGGAGGCCAGGAGGCCGAAAUCAAGGUGUCAGCAGGGCCGCCCCGCCACCUCUGAAGCCCGUAGGGAGGUGCUUCCAGCCUCUCCGGCUUCUGGUGGGCGCCAGCCUUUCUUGGUGGUCCGCGGCUCCUGGGUGCUGGGUGCACUCUCUGCCAAACUUCUGGCUCUCCUUCUACGGGGACCCAGUCUUGUCGGUCCAGGGCACUCCCUAACCCAGUGUGGCCGCAACUCAGGUCAUCGCAUCUGCAAAGACCCUUUUUCCUAAUGAGGUCCCAUUCACGAGCCCUGGAGCCAGGACCUGAAUACGUCUUCUCUGGGGACAAAAUUCACCCACCACUCCUUCCAAAAGGAGUCAUCACAGCCCAACUUGGCUUCCGAAGUUCUGGCCUUCGGAACUGUAAAAACGUGCUUAGUCGUGGCCUCACCAUGGCAAAGAACAUUGCUUGGCAGAGGCAGGUUUUGAUGACCAUUGCUUCCUGGAACCACACAUCUAAAAAGUUUGAAAGAGAAACUGUCCAAUUCAAGGCUCUUGUCAAGGCAUUCAAGAGAAGAGAAAGGAAUCUGAAGCCAGAAGGAGACAGCACCAGAAGCAGCCAGACUCCCCCGGAGAACAGCUUCAGGGCAGAAAAUAGGGAUUAUCCAGAACUUUGUUCUCAGCUCUUCAUAGGAAAUCUUACCUACUUUUGUUUUUAAAAUUGGGAUUUUGACUCCAAGCCAUUUCUUAAAUGCCACUCUUGACACUUUCAACUCAGCGCAGAUACAGCGUUUACAAGGACAGAGUUUAGCUAGGUGACUUGAGCUCAAAGUGCUUUGAAACGCCAGGUCGGAGGGACUCUGCUGGGGCAAUGGAAAGACACACUCUGCGCAGUCACGCUAGCCUGUGCCCUCGGUUAGGAGGGAGGCACUGGGUGUGACAAACCCAUGGGCUGGCUGCAGAUUCAAGAUGCAGGAGGUGGAAUUCCGCUGCCCCCACUUGCUAGCUGAAUGACCGCGGGCAGCUUAGCUAACCCUCUAGACCUGAUGUCCCCAACUUUAAACCAAGGUAAGUAUACCUCAGAGGCUGGUUGUAAGGACUAGAUGAGAUGCUGCCUGCAAAAUACUCGUCCAUAGGAGGCACUUCUCUUUGUUUCUGCAUUUUUUUUCCCCAGAAUAAAUUUUAUGCACCGUAGAAAAACCAAAUGAUGAUUUGGUUAUUUUCUUUACUAGGGCCAAUUAAAAGGGGAUGCUUGUAAGCUUACUGAAUUUUUUGUUUGUUUGUUUUCUAAAUCUUUUGGUUAGAAAUUAAGGAUCGGAGGGAGAGAGGGAAAAAAAGUAACAAGCAGAAGUAGGGAAAGGAGGAGGAGGAUGGGGAGACAGGGAGGGGGAGUGGAAGGAAGGAGGAAGGAAGGAAGGAAGCAUAGGAGAGAGAGAAUAAGGAAGCUAGAUGAGACUGCAUUAACCAAAUGAACAUGAAGAAUUUAAAAUAGCUCUAAUCAUGUGUCAUAUUCACCUGUUUAUCUACAUAUAAAUCAAAAAGAAAUAAAAGAACUUCCCAGAUUUUUAUUUCCUCACCAGAGGUGCUUGCAGGAACUCUGCCUACACUGUAAUGACUUGUUGCAAGCCAUUUAUAAAGGUUUUCUUUUUUUGAAACAAUAUACUGAAUAAAUAUCCCUGGAAUUAGAAAUACGUGAGAGCACCUUAAAAGAAAAAUACACUACAAUAAAAAUGGUUGUGCGUGAUACAUAGUCAGAACUAGCUCAGUAAAUAUUUGUUGAAUGAAUUCGUUCAAACCCCUGAUGAUAUUUUUGAGAUUUAACAUAGAUAUUUCCGUCAUGCCAGUUGCACAACUAGAGCCCCAUUCUAACUUUCUGUGUUAGUGCUGUGUUCGCAUAGACUAGAACUGCUAUGUCAUGCUCACCUGUUUUGUCGGGGUUUUUUUAGAGUGCAUUUCCCAGACCAUUGGCAUCGUAGCCAUCUACUAAAAAGGCACAUUCCAGGUCUUUCCAAAGGAUGAGGACCAGGAAUUCUGAAGGCAAGUAGCGCUAUAUAUGACCAGGUCUAAAUUAAGUUCUUUGGGGUGUAGGCGGAGAGCAAUGCCUGCCUUCUAAAUAGGGAAGCAAGUGAGAGCUGCCACGGGCUCCAAAGCCGACCUAAGGCCUGGGAGGGGAGAGGAGGCUGGGGCAAGGUCCAGCUCCAUCGCUGGGAGUGGGGGAACAGGCGUGGCAAGAACGCCGACAGCUUUAUCUUUCCAAGCUAGGGCCUAAGAGAAACUAUGGAUGGAGCUACAAAUAGAGAUAUUUAAGCUCAAAGGUGAUGGCUGUAAAUGGGAGAGAGGAGCAGAACCUCAUUUAGCAUGGAUGGAAGUCUAGAUAAGGCCUAAUCCAUACAUUUCCCACACACACACACACCUUGCCGCCUGCACUCGCUCUGUCUGCUCUCUGUGUCCAUUUGCUACACAUUCUUCUGUGUCUGCUUGUCUACUCUUUAGGAGGCACCGGAAACCGAUCCCGGGACCUUCCGACCUGGGAGAGAGGCACUCAAUCGCUUAAGCCACCUAAGCUUCCUCUAAUCCACCUUUUUAAGUGGCAUACCAUACAUCACCUUGCAGCAUGGAGGUGAUUGCCAUAAGAAUUAAGACCAGAAAGAGUUCAAAGGUGUUCAUGUAAAAUGGUUAUUUCCAUGGACCUGGGCGGUGGAUGGGGUGGGGAAGGCAGGGAGCUCUUGUUGAUGAAAUCUUCCCAUAUGAACUGGUUUUUACCUCCAGCCGAGUAUUACUGAUAAAGGGAAUUUCUACUUUUAAUUUUUUAAAUGCAUGAUCUUUGGUCCUGCCCUACAUGGGAUGAAAUAGCAAUUCUGGGUUGAGGGCAUCUCAAGAAGCUUUCAGGGGAUACCACGAACUGACACUAGACCUCAACCAGCUCCAGGUAUCUGGGUGAUGCAAACACACAAAUGAAUAAAUAAUGAAAGAAGAGUAUGAUAAUCCCUGUUACUCAAGUAAAAAGCAAACGCUGCUGUUGAAUGCAAACGCCAACGUGCCCAUUUUGCCCAGGGGACCCAAACCCAACCAAAACCAAGAGCAAAACCAGCUUUAUCAGGGGAUGCUACUUUACACUCUCCCUUGUCCCUCUCAUAUCCCUCUUCAAUUUUAAAAUUUAUUCUAAUUUAAAAAAUAAAAAAUUAAAAUAUUGAACUCUAUGUCAUGCAUAAAUCAUUUCUAAAAAAUAUCCUUGGCUGGCGCCACCAGCCAGGUUCUCCCCAGGGUGGCCAGAUCUGCUUUAUACAGGCCCCUCAGGAAAAGGCCCAGCCUACAGAACCUUCCAGGAAACCCAAGUGCUUUGAGACUUAAAUUAAGACCAUCAACAGAAAAGCCGGAAACAAAACCAAAACAAAACAAAAGUACAGAAUCUGGUUUUACAACCAUGCUCAAAGAACCUUUGUCAAAGCAAAUCAAAGCUCUCCUGGCAGCCAGCUCAUUAAGUUUAAUCAUCAACUGUGCUUAUCAGAUCCUCGAUUUGUAAAUUCUUUGAAGAAAAUAAUGUGCAAAAAGCAUCCUUUUUUGCUUUGGAGAAUGAUUUCAAAGCAGACCUUAAAGUCACCUGCAGAGAGGCUUUAGGUGGAAAUUAUAAGCAGGGAAAAAAUAGCUCCUGUUUGAUUUCAAGAUUUCAUGAAGUUCAGCAAAACAGCUAGAUGUGCUUACCACUGCAGCUUAAGUACAGCGGAAGCUCCAGACUAUACCAUCACUUCCAGUUGCGGGCAUGGAAAAAGACACCUGUUAGGCUUACCUGCUAGAAACAAAAACUCACCUUGCUGUUGAGGACCCUGGAAAUGGGAAUCCCUUGAAAUGUUUGGGUUUUGCUUUCCUUGGCCAGUCCUUCGCCACAAUUUGGAGGUUUUGGGUCUUCGGCCCAAUCAAGGUGACCAACAAUUUGCUGAACUAUCCUCUUCUAACCUGAUAAAUCCAAGGGCAAAUACUCAGCUCCGAUACUCAGUUCCACAGUACCAAUGCCAACAUCCUCUCCUAGGGAUAGAAACAAGAAGACCUAUGGAUGGUCAAUGGAAUGAACAAAAGGAAAUGGUUCAUAUUACCAUCAAGGAAGCCUGCAGUGAGUUGGGUCGAUGUGCUGGCACCCUGAAACCAGCCCUGGCAUAGCCUGUGAUUAAGCAACAACGACAACAUCAACAAAACAAUCCAGCAGUCAAAGAAGAAAGCAAACCGCAAAUGAAGUCUUCACUGAAGUCUCUGGGAAAAGCCAAAGGAAGAUUCUAUUCCCAACACACACCAACACUUCUUCCUAUUUUUGUUCUCCAUCCUUCUCUCUUUCUGUGUCUUACAUUUCAGUGCUCCAAAUUCUCUUCUCCUCCCCAAAUUCUGUCAGACUCUCUGGGUCCUUCCUUGGUUUCCCUCUUGAAGAUUCACUUUUUAUUUUAUUUUAUGACGUUAUUAUUAUUACUUUUUUCUUUUAUGCAACAGUAGUUGUCAAACCUUUCCAUUGGAAAAAGUCAUCAGGUUCUCGCUUUCCAGUAUGCCUCUCCUUUCCUUUCCUUGCCCCAGGAGGUCCACAGCCUAAGACCUCUUGGCGGAAUGGGUUGGGGGUGGAGAUUAAGGUGAAGGACUAGGAAAAAAGAACCGAUUGGUGCUGUUAUUUGGCCCUGAAACACUAACUAUAUCCUGUGGAUUACCUGCUAUGUGUUGGACAUGGAAUCUAAUUGCUGAAUCUAACAAGUACCUAAAUGGGAGUUCUGAGGACACUGUGCCAAGGAGAUCUUCCUUGAUAAGAGGGCUCAGGGUUAAAGACAUUUGGAAAAUGUGCCCUACCUAAUCCAUCUCUUGGAGAUUCACA
ensembl:lincRNA